AUUUCUCCCUUAGAUUAGAUGCUGUUUGGGUCCAAUGUCUGGCGGCGCAAUACACCCUGGUGCAGCCCGAGCGGCAAGGUCAUGUAGCAAGCACAAGCAAAGUACAAGGGUCUAGGGGCAUCCUGAGUCUGGAGAAAGCUUCCUGCUUCUGCCUGGUGACAUCAUACAUGGAGACAGCCUAUCACCUCCUGUGGCUUGGAAAUACCAUUUCAGAGCCUUUCACACUGCACAGUGAAACGGUUCUGAACCGGUUAGGACCCUGCUUUUUAACCGUUUCAAAAUACCAGUAUUUUGAAAACAGUAAAUUCAAGGUGGCCCUUUCAGAUCGCAGCUAGAACCGUUUAGGAAGGCUGAAAAAUCGGCAAUUUACCGGGUUAAAACUGCGGUGAGAAAGGGGUAUUAAAGUCUUGAAGUGCAAAAAAAUCUUGGAACCCGUGCAUUCUGGCCUUUAUUUACACACAUCUCUUUUAACAGAGCAUGCUCUGUCACCAGUUUAAACUAGAGAUGAGUGGUUUGUAUUUACUGAAAUCCGAACCCACCCGAACUUCUGGUUCCGAGUCAAUCCGAGACCUGGCUCAGGUUUUCCUGCAAGGCAUGGAUUCCAAAUCGAGACAAAAUGUCAUCCUCCAGGCAUCAGAUUCUCGUAGAUUUUAGAUUCUAUAUAAGGCCCCCGUAACUCUGCACCAUUUCACUGCUGUGUGCUGCAAUGUACUCUGAUGUGUCCAUCUACAAGUGGCUGUGCUGUGUCCAUCUACAAGUGGCUGUGCUCACUGUGUCUAUCCACAAGCUGUGUCCGGUCCCCUUAGCCUAAUUCUGUCACACAGUGGUGCUGCACUUACUGCAUAGGCCAUACCCCGCCCACAGCAUUCACAUAUAAGUAGUGUGACUCUGUAUUGUCCGUUGCCGAAAAAGUGAAAAAGUAAACAUUUUUUUAAAAAGUUUAAUUUUUUUUAUGUUUGUAUAAUGUGUGUGCUGUACCCCAGUGCAUUUUGUUCACUUCAAGUACAUAUAAAAGCAGUCUGACUCAACGCAGUGUGAGUCAAGCUGCCAGUUAGAAAAAAUAUAUAUUGUUGUAUAAUUUGUUUGUACUAUACUUUGCACUUUCCACCAGUAUGCUCUCUACCCCAUUGCGCUUAGUGUGAUUCCAUGCAGUGUGAUCCAAGCUGCCAAUUAAAAAAA